rnacentral:rRNA from 1 species
GUAGGGGGCAAGCGUUGUUCGGAAUUACUGGGCGUAAAGGGCGCGUAGGCGGCAUGGCAAGUCGGGAGUGAAAGCCCGGGGCUCAACCCCGGAACGGCUUUCGAAACUGCCAAGCUAGAGUACGGAAGGGGCAACUGGAAUUCCCAGUGUAGCGGUGAAAUGCGUAGAUAUUGGGAAGAACACCGGAGGCGAAGGCGGGUUGCUGGGCCGAUACUGACGCUGAGGCGCGAAAGCCAGGGGAGCAAACGGGAUUAGAUACCCCGGUAGUCCUGGCCCUAAACGAUGGAUACUUGGUGUGUGGGGUUCUCAAAGUCCCCGCGUGCCGGAGCUAACGCGUUAAGUAUCCCGCCUGGGGAGUACGGUCGCAAGGCUG